rnacentral:rRNA from 1 species
CAGCACCUCAAGUGGUCAGGAUGAUUAUUGGGCCUAAAGCAUCCGUAGCCGGCGCUGUAAGUUUUCGGUUAAAUCUGUACGCUCAACGUACAGGCUGCCGGGAAUACUGCAGCGCUAGGGAGUGGGAGAGGUAGACGGUACUCGGUAGGAAGGGGUAAAAUACUUUGAUCUAUUGAUGACCACCUGUGGCGAAGGCGGUCUACCAGAACACGUCCGACGGUGAGGGAUGAAAGCUGGGGGAGCAAACCGGAUUAGAUACCCGAGUAGUCC